rnacentral:tRNA from 1 species
GGAGGAAUGGCCGAGCGGUUUAAGGCACCGGUCUUGAAAACCGGCGUGGGUGCAAGCUCACCGUGGGUUCGAACCCCACUUCCUCCGCCA